rnacentral:rRNA from 1 species
GAUGAACGCUGGCGGCGUGCCUAAUACAUGCAAGUCGAGCGAAGCGGGGACGGGUGAGUAACACGUGGAUAACCUCCUAUAAGACUGGGAUAACUUCGGGAAACCGGAGCUAAACCGGAUAAUUAUAGAUGGAUCCGCGCUGCAUUAGCUCGUUGUGAAGGUAACGGCUUACCAAGGCAACGAUGCAUAGACGACCGGAGCUGGUGUGCUGCCACACUGUAACGGAGACACGGUCCAGACGCCUACGGGAGGCAGCAGUAGGGAAUCUUCCGCAAUGGGCGAAAGCCUGACGGAGCAACGCCGCGUGAGUGAUGAAGGUCUUCGGAUCGUAAAACUCUGUUAUUAGGGAAGCGGUACCUAAUCAGAAAGCCACGGCUAACUACGUGCCAGCCGCCGCGGUAAUAC